UUUUAGUACAUCUAAACUAUAGUAACUUGUGUCUUCCUUACAAGUGGUGUCAUCCACCAUUCUUUCUCUCCCCUCUUAAAAAGUGGGAAAAAGGAAGACUGCUGGACCACACCACAAGUUAUAACAACAAAAAAAAGGUUCAUACAAACUUUACUCUGCUGCAUGGACUGUAUCAGCUUGUAUUCAGGCAGGUCAAGUUGGGCGAUAUAAGUGUGUGCUGGAAGGAAGCUGUCAUCUGCUGGCUUUUGGAUUAUCAACUUGGAAGCCUAGAAGUGAUAGAAAGAAGGAAGAGGAGAAGAUAGAUGAUAAUAAGGAGGGAAGAAAGAGAAAGAGAGAGAGAGAAGACAACAAAGAAGGAAGAGGACAUGAGAGAAGAAUGAGGUUAAUAGAAGAGGAAGAAAAAAAGAAGAAAUGAGAGAAAGA